rnacentral:lncRNA from 1 species
CCUUAUCCUUCCAAAUCUGUGUGUAUAGUUUUCUGAGGCAAUUGUGCAACUUCUCUUCCACUUCUUCAACAGGAGAAGAAUCCAAAUGUUAAGUGUUUCCUCAUAGAUCCACCCGGUUCUGGCCUGUUCAACAAGGUGACUAGAGGAGUUAUGUACGCCAAAGAGGAGGCUGAAGGACGAAGAUUAAAGAAUCCUUUUGACACAAUAACUGAAGGAAUUGGAAUCAAUAGAUUAACGCAGAAUUUCUUGAUGGCAAAACUUGACGGGGCAUUUUGUGGAACAGACAGGGAAGCUGUUGAAAUGUCAAGGUUAGUGGCCAAACCAUUGUAGAACUAAUUUCUUGAUGGUAUCAUCUCCCUUUCUCUACUGAUGCAACUAUCUGUUUUUUUUGGUUUAUUGAGGUUAUUGAGACCUUGUUACUUUUGACCCAAUUAUAGUUGUGUUAAUGUGGAAUGAUCAAAGUUUAGAGGAUCAAUGAAAACUAACCUCUCCUGCUUACGCCACAAAAGACUCAACCGCUUGGACUUUAUUCUCUCGACUGUGCCUUCUCUCCCAUCAUGAAAUAUUCGGAUCCCUAAGAUGAGUUUUUGAAAGUUCUCCUGUUUGUCAGUCAUGGUUCUGUAAAGAAUGGUUUUUUUUUAGAAAUUUCGUUUGACUUUAUAAUCGGGAUCCACUAUAAUUUCACUGUGGUUUGUCACCGGGACUGCAAUUGUCAAACGAGUGGAUUUUUUAAAAACAUCCUGAUACAAAAAGCACUACGUUAGGGAUUCGAAUAUUUCACGAAGUUCCAAACGAUUGAAUGCUCUAUGACUUAAGUAGAAUGUUUUCUUUUAAUUCUAUAAUUAGAUCAUGAAGGAUCAUAAAUGUUAAUUUUUAUUGAUUUCUAAUAUUUGAUGAUUCAGCAUCAAUGGAUUUGAGAUUGGGACAUCCACACAAAAAUCUCGUUAUUAUAUAUAUAGAGCAUGCUGUUUGUAUUCUCACAUUUACUUUCUCCAUAGCUUUAAUCUUCAUGUUCAAUUUUAGCAACGCUAAUCGAUCUUCUUGCAACGUUAUAAACCAGAUAUCUGCUGAGGAAUGAUGGGCUCUUUCUCGGGAGCUCUUCAGCCAUGAAUUGUGUUGGAGCUGUGAAAUUGGCCCAAUCAAUUGGCCCCGGAAAAACCAUUGUCACCAUUCUUUGCGACAAUGGAAUGAGGCAUCUGAGCAAAUUUUUCAGUUCAGAGUAUCUGAGUCAAUACAAUCUGACGCCCAAGGCUACUGGCUUAGAAUUCCUCGAAUCCAGGUGAAAUGGUAGAGCUAUGAGUCUCAGAAUGUCGUGUUAAAGAGUAUGGAGGUUUGCGUCAUCAUGAUAUGCAACUGAAUAUAGAGAAUUAACAGCACAUCAUAUUUGAAGGUCUUGAAGUAACUAAACUGUUGUAGAAUGUUGGAUACGAGUAAUUCAUCGAGAUAUUCAAUUUUGUAAGACUUAAGACAUUGUUG